rnacentral:rRNA from 1 species
GACGAACCGUGCGAACGUUGUUCGGAAUCACUGGGCUUCAAGGGCGCGUCGGCGGGUUCCCAAGUCAGGGGUGAAAUCUUUCGGCCCAACCGGAAAAGGGCUUCUGAUACUGGGAACCUCGAGGGAGGUAGGGGUCGAGGGAACUUCCGGUGGAGCGGUGAAAUGCGUAGAUAUCGUAAGGAAGACCAGUGGCGAAGGCGGGUCUCUGGACAGUUCCUGACGCUGAGGCACGAAGGCCAGGGGAGCAAACGGG